rnacentral:rRNA from 1 species
UCUGGUUGAUCCUGCCAGUAGUCAUAUGCUUGUCUCAAAGAUUAAGCCAUGCAUGUCUAAGUAUAAAUAGUAUACAGUGAAACUGCGAAUGGCUAAUUAAAACAGUUAUAGUUUAUUUGAUAAUUGACAAUUACAUGGAUAACCGUGGUAAUUCUAGGGCUAAUACAUGCUUAAACGCCCGACUUUAUGGUAGGGUGGUAUUUAUUAGACUGAAGCCAAUAUUCCUUGUGUCUAUUGCGGUGAUUCAUAAUAACUGAUCGAAUCUCUUUUUUUGAGAUAAAUCAUUCAAGUUUCUGCCCUAUCAGCUUUCGAUGGUAGUGUAUUGGACUACCAUGGCAGUAACGGGUAACGAAGAAUUAGGGUUCGAUUUCGGAGAGGGAGCAUGAGAAACGGCUACCACAUCUAAGGAAGGCAGCAGGCGCGUAAAUUACCCAAUCCUGACUCAGGGAGGUAGUGACAAGAAAUAGCAAACCGGGAACCUCAUGGCUUCACGGUAUUGCAAUGAGAACAAUUUAAAACCCUUAGCGAGAAUCAAGUGGAGGACAAGUCUGGUGCCAGCACCCGCGGUAAUUCCAGCUCCACUAGCGUAUAUUAAAGUUGUUGCAGUUAAAAAGCUCGUAGUUGAACCUCUGUCUGGGGCUAGUUUUGGCUUUGGUCAGGCUAGUUCUAGGCAUCCGCCUACAAGACUUAGAGGGCAUUCAGUUGUUCACUAGGAGGAGUAGGCAUUUUACUUUGGAAAAAUUAGAGUGUUUAAGGCAGGCAAUCGCCCGCAUAUAUUAGCAUGGAAUAAUAGAAUAGGACACUUUUCCAUUUCGUUGGUUAUUGGAAUCGUGUAAUGAUUAAUAGGGACAGUUGUGGGCAUUUGUAUUUAAUUGUCAGAGGUGAAAUUCUUGGAUUUAUUAAAGACAAACUAACGCGAAAGCAUUUGCCAAGGAUGUUUUCAUUAAUCAAGAACGAAAGUUAGGGGAUCAAAGACGAUCAGAUACCGUCCUAGUCUUAACUAUAAACUAUUCCGCCUCAAUGUUUGACUGGCUUAUAUAACCAGUUGAGCGUUGUAUAGAAAUCAAAGUCUUUAGGUUCUGGGGGGAGUAUGGUUGCAAAGCUGAAACUUAAAGGAAUUGACGGAAGAGCACAACCAGGAGUGGAUUCUGCGGCUUAAUUUGACUCAACACGGGGAAACUUACCAGGUUAAAACAAUAGUGGGAUUGACAGUUUGAGAGCGCUUUCUUGAUUGGUUGGGUGGUGGUGCAUGGCCGUUCUUAGUUGGUGGAGUGAUUUGUCUGCUUAAUUGCGUUAACGAACGAGACCUUAACCUGCUUACUAGACUGGCGAUC